CCUACGGGAGGCAGCAGUGAGGAAUAUUGGUCAAUGGGCGCGAGCCUGAACCAGCCAAGUAGCGUGAAGGAUGACUGCUCUACGGGUUGUAAACUUCUUUUAUAAAGGAAUAAAGUGAGGCACGUGUGCCUUUUUGUAUGUACUUUAUGAAUACGGAUCGGCUAACGCCGCGCCAGCAGCCGUGGUAAUACGGAGGCUCCGAGCGUUAUCCGGAUUUAUUGGGUUUAAAGGGAGCGUAGAUGGGUUGUUAAGUUAGGUGUGAAAGUUUGCGGCUCAACCGUAAAAUUGCAAUUGAUACUGGCAGCCUUGAGUACAGUUGAGGUAGGCGGAAUUCGUGGUGUAGCGGUGAAAUGCUUAGAUAUCACGAAGAACACCGAUUGCGAAGGCAGCCUACUAGACUGCCACUGACAUUGAUGCUCGAAAGUGUGGGUAUCAAACAGGAUUAGAUACCCGAGUAGUC
rnacentral:rRNA from 1 species